rnacentral:rRNA from 1 species
GAUGAACGCUAGCGAGACGCCUAACACAUGCAAGUCGAAUGCUUCGGCAUGGCAAACGGGUGCGUAACACGUGCUUAACCUGCCCUAAAGUGGGGGAUACCUGUUGAAAAACAACUAAUCCCCCAUGUGAUAAUAGAAAUGAAAAUACUAUUAUUAAAGAUUUAUCGCUUUAGGAGGGGGGCGCGGCCUAUUAGCUAGUUGGUGAGGUAACUGCUCACCAAGGCGAUGAUGGGUAGCUGGUCUGAGAGGAUGAUCAGCCACAAUGGAACUGAGACACGGUCCAUACCCCUACGGGGGGCAGCAGUGGGGAAUCUUGCACAAUGGACGAAAGUCUGAUGCAGCGAUCUCGCGUGGAGGAUGACGCAUUACGGUGUGUAAACUCCUUUUCUGGAGGAAGACGACUGACGGUACUCCAGGAAUAAGGGACGGCUAACUAUG